rnacentral:rRNA from 1 species
UACAGAGGGUGCGAGCGUUGUUCGGAAUUAUUGGGCGUAAAGGGCGCGUAGGCGGCGCCACAAGUCACCUGUGAAACUCUGGGCUCAACCCAGAGCCUGCAGGCGAAACUGUGGUGCUGGAGUAUGGGAGAGGUGCGUGGAAUUCCCGGUGUAGCGGUGAAAGUGCGUAGAUAGUCGGGAGGAACACCUGUGGCGAAAGCGGCGCACUGGACCGAUGAACUGACGCUGGAGGCGCGAAAGCCUAGGGGAGCAAACAGG